UACGAAGGGAGCUAGCGUUGUUCGGAAUCACUGGGCGUAAAGCGCACGUAGGCGGAUGUGUCAGUCAGGGGUGAAAUCCCGGAGCUCAACUUCGGAACUGCCUUUGAUACAGCACGUCUUGAGUCCGAUAGAGGUGGGUGGAAUUCCUAGUGUAGAGGUGAAAUGCGUAGAUAUCUGGAAGAACACCAGUGGCGAAGGCGGUCAACUGGCCCAUAACUGACGCUCAGGCACGAAAGCGUGGGGAGCAAACAGG
rnacentral:rRNA from 1 species